rnacentral:rRNA from 1 species
AGACAGCAGUCGCCACGGUAAUACAGAGGAUGCAAGCGUUAUCCGGAAUGAUUGGGCGUAAAGCGUCUGUAGGUGGCUUUUCAAGUCCGCCGUCAAAUCCCAGGGCUCAACCCCGUGACGCACUGGAAACUGGGAGACUUGAGUGCAGAAGAGGAGAGCGGAAUUCCACGUGUAGCGGUGAAAUGCGUAGAGAUGUGGAGGAACACCAGUGGCGAAGGCGGCUCUCUGGACUGUAACUGACGCUGAGGCGCGAAAGCGUGGGGAGCAAACAGGAUUAGAUACCCCGGUAGUCCCUGUCUCUUAUACA